AAGUGAAGUAUUGAAAUUAUUUUAUGUUGCAUAAUGACAACAUGUUGCCCCUAUACAUUUAAGGACAAAGUUCAAUGACCGCCACCUGCUGGAUGGUGAGUGCAGAGGGGCGUGUAAUUGUUGAGCUGGACAAAGAGAACACCUUUGCUGAUGCGAUGUCAGUCUUCUUUGGUUCAUUCUAUGUAUUGAACCUGGAAUACCAGGAGUCAGCGUGUGCAACAUUGGAACUAAUUCAGAGGUUUUUUGUAAGGAUAAACCCUGAAGAGGGAACAAAAUGUACCUCCAAGGUUGGGACAAGCAGAAAGACUGGGACCACUGUGAAGCGAAAG